UACGUAGGUGACUAGCGUUGUCCGGAUUUACUGGGCGUAAAGAGCGCGCAGGCGGUCGUUCAAGUCGAGUGUGAAAGCCCCCGGCUCAACUGGGGAGGGUCAUUCGAUACUGAUCGACUCGAAGGCAGGAGAGGGAAGCGGAAUUCCCGGUGUAGUGGUGAAAUGCGUAGAUAUCGGGAGGAACACCAAUGGCGAAGGCAGCUCGCUGGGACGGUACUGACGCUGAGACGCGAAAGCGUGGGGAGCAAACAGG
rnacentral:rRNA from 1 species